UACGUGGGGGGCAAGCGUUGUCCGGAUUUACUGGGCGUAAAGGGCGCGUAGGCGGCCUGUUAAGUCGAACGUGAAAUCCCUGGGCUCAACCCAGGAACUGCGUCCGAUACUGGCAGGCUUGAAUUCGGGAGAGGGAUGCGGAAUUCCAGGUGUAGCGGUGAAGUGCGUAGAUAUCUGGAGGAACACCGGUGGCGAAGGCGGCAUCCUGGACCGAUAUUGACGCUGAGGCGCGAAAGCCAGGGGAGCAAACGGG
rnacentral:rRNA from 1 species